UCCCUCAGUGGAGCUCAUGGACUGCUUUUGAUUUGGAACUUCCUGAUUCUUGAGUAAAACUUCUUCAUCCAAAUAUCCAAAAAGAAAUUAAACAACUCAGAUGGCUUUGGAGAAAGAAUACCAACAACCUGGAAGAUAAUUUGCUGAAAUACAAGAAACAACGUGUAGAGAAAAGAGAAAGGUAAAGAAAUUAGCACUAGUCCCACUGACUCUCUCACUUGAUCAGCCUUUACUCCCUUGCCUCCAGUUCUUCCUUUUCUGCUUUUAUAAUGGGUGCUUGUGGUAUAAAUAAAAGGAGGUCAGGCUAUAAAUUCAGAUGACCCAAACUGAAGACCAGUCUUUCAUAGGGUAACUUGAGAUCUCAAUAUCUCUGAGCCCUAAUAUAUUCAUCUGCAAAAUAAAGAUGAUAAUGCCUGCUAAUAUACCUCAUUAUGCAUGUGACAGCAGUUUAUUGUAUAUGUGUAUUUUAUUAUCUAAAAUUAGGCAUACUAGAUCUAGAUGUAGACUCUAGAAUUUCAACUGGUUUCCUGCUUUCAACCAAUUUAUGAUGAAAGUUUUUAGAGUCUUUAAAAUAUUUAGUUUGGGGUAAUGGUACCUAGACAUUUUUAAACUUUUCCAGGGUAGCAUACUGAACUGCUUAGGACAUAGAAAAUUUUCACUUUUUUUUUUUACAAACGAAAUCUUGAUGUAGCUUCACUUUAAUGGUUAAGAUUUGAAUACUUUUGGGGCACAUGUGCAACCUGUGUGUUUUACAUGCAAUCCCUAUAAUAUAAAGAUCUUUCAUAUGAUAAAGUUGUUUUUAUAUAAAGAGAGAGAAGGAUUCACAAGUCACACAUGAAAAAUAAUUUUGUUAUUUAACCAUCACAAUUGGCAGCUGCCCUGUAUAUUCAUUAUCUAGAAGAUAUAUGUGGACAAAUAUAAUUUGGUAAGGUUGAUCAUUUCAGAGGUGAAUGUAGACUUUGAGCUUCAUUAACUAAAGUUGAAAAUUAGACCACCAGAUUUCAACUACCCAGCAGUAAUUAAUUCCAGCAUGUGAAGUUUAAUUAGGGAAAAACAAAAUAUAUUGCAAAUUGUUGAAAAGAAAAGCCACCAACUGAUGACACAGGACUAUUUAAAUAUAUUAAAGAAAUGGUGCAGUAUGUUAAGCAUGUAAUUCCGCCAAAAUUCUCCCAGCUUUAUUUUGUCUUCCUUUCCAUAUCCUUGGCUCUCAAAAAUUCAUUCUCAGUUCUUUGGCAAAAGAGACUGGAAGAGACCAGAAGGAGGAGAGGGGGAGUGGACAGCUCAUGCUAAUGCCACUUUUCAUUUCAUUUUUUUUUUGAAAAAUCCUACUUUGUGCAUAUAAAAUAUAGUUCAUUUCUUAUCCUGAGAGUUACCCUGGCAUAUGGCUCAAUUGGAAACAUCAAGGUUUUUAGUUCUUUUUAAAAUGGCUUGCCUCUUUUCCAGACUUUUCUUCAGAUGUAUUGUCAAUGCCACUUUUAGAGUCUAUCACCCUUAUAUUGGUAAAAUCUUCUUCACUUUCUGGCCAGGAAGGUACUGACCAUGAUGGUAAAUGAAUAGUGAGUAGGAUAAGUCUGGGACUGAUUGUGAAAGCACCCAUCUAAGCAGUUCCUUUUUCAGAUAUUAUUGAGCUUCUGUUGUUGGAGUUUUUAGUAAUAUAAAAGAUAUGUUCUCUAGACCCAGAAAGAAAACUCAUUUCUACUUUUUACUCUUCUGUUGAGUUAAGUAAUCCAAAGGCAUCUAUUGAACUCUAUAAUCAUGCUCUGAAAUCUACAUGCUCAAUUGAAAUUCUGUGAAUCCAAUCUAAUCCUGAUCCUUCUUGGUAAAAUACAAUGCUAAUUAAUGCUUAUCUUAAGAACAUUUCUAUAUAUCUGAAGAUUUUUAAACUCAAUGUUGGUCUGGUCUAGUAUUGGCAUGACUAAAAUACUCAAUUUUAAAAGUUGAAUGUGGGCUGUAAGAAUUAAUAUCUUGUUCUAUUGCCCAUCUUGGUUAAAGGUUUUGGUUUGCAGAGUAUAAAAAUACUUGUCCAAUUUAAUUCAUCAAGACUGUUCUGCAUUAGUCUGCAAUAAAUCCUGUAUAGAGUCCACUGAAUGCAUGGAAUCAUUGGAUAAUGACAGACUCUGCCCAAAGAGGGAAAAAAAGAUAGCCUAAAAGUAAGUAUCAAAUAGGGAAGUUUUGAGUAUGAAAUAAAAGAUAAAGGUAAAAGAAAACUGG